UUCUUAUUUAUUUUCCUUUCAUUGCAGGUUAGGAGAGAAUUCGUCGAUGAUGCAGAACAGGGGAGAAAUAUAAAAUUUGAGGACAAGUUUUGCAGCAUAAAGGUGUGGCAUCUGCGCCACGCAGAUGGUCUUUAUUUAUGCAUUGGCGUCAGGAGGUGGAGACGGCAUCAUAAAAUUGUCAGAUAUUUGUAUCUAUAAUCGCAAAAGUUGGCGAUUUUGUUUUGCUUUAACGGGGCCCGUCUCCUGGUUUACGUGUGCGUCAUCGGCAGGAUGAGGCCGGAUUUUUGUAUUUGCUGGUUUGCCUGUCCGAUUAUCAGGAAAUCAUUGAAGAAACGGUACUGAGGAAAUUUAUACAAUUUGGAGACGGAUUUUAAUUCUUUUUAAUAUGAUGUCAGCUCCGGGAUUGUGAUCCUUUUUAGUGCAGUGGCACCAGGAAGUGGAGACGGCGUUGUAAGAUUGUCAAUUAUUUGUGUUUAUAAUCACGAAAGAUGGCGAUUUUGUUUUUCUUUGCAGGGCUCGUCUUCUCUUGUUGGUUGCGUUGGAUCGCCAGUUGGCUGUGUUUAUUGAGGUUUUAGCGUCUCUUAUGUAGGCGCUCGUCGAUCUGAGAGAAUUUAAGAGUAGUGGAAAGGAUAGAUUCUGCAGCUCCGCGUUAAGUGCCCUGAACUAAGCGUGGGCAGCUUAUAUGGCCCGUCUAUUGCAGCGCAGCACUGCAAGUAGAUUGCAUCGGUGAUAAGGGAUACUAAUCGGGACCGUGUGGCAAGAAUGUUCAGUCAGGAUCAGCUGGAGUGCAUUGUCUUGGGCUUGCUCAUCCGGGUACUUUGAGAUGAGUUUGGCUGCGUCGAGGAAAGUGAUGACAGUGGAGGAGUUUGUGAGCAGACAGACGUGCGCUUUUUCGUCGAAUAUAGAUAUCGUUAAUAUAACUAUAAGUAGAUGUAGGAUUAAUUGGAUGUUUCCAUGUCAUGAUUGUUAUCUCUUCCUUGUAUGAUUAAGGCCAAUAAAAUGUCAAUUUUCUUC